rnacentral:lncRNA from 1 species
UGCACGCUGGCGUCCGGGAAAAUUGCCGCAGCCCUGACGAUUGACUUGAAAAUUCUCAGAAUUUGACUGUCGGUUUGCAGCGGGGGACCAGACUGGUCUUUCUGAUCGUCUUCAGCCUUAGGGCAGAAUGGCUCCCACUCACCUAUCUCUGAAAGAGAUUCCAGAGUCUUUGCAUGAUUCCCUGAUUCUCCCCCCUUCCCCCCGUUCCUCUGACCUUGCCUCUCGUAUUUGUCUCAGGGCAAUGGAGACUGUGGUGAGGUGAAUUUCAAUCUUUCUGAGUCUUCAAUUUCUUCGACUGAAAAAUGGCGACAAUACUACUCAAGGUUGCUCUGAAGGUUGCCAGAGAUGGACGUGGAGAGAGCUGUGGAGCUCCGAGCCUGUCUGAACUGUUCAGGAAGGACUUAAGUACAGCGGAUGUAUGUGUGUAAAGUUUCUAUGUGAAUCUGCUGGAUUUCAAAGUAAGUUGUGGAUAUUAUGACACUUCAACCCUAAAGAUUUCUGCAUGCAUCUCCUACAAAUAUGGACAUUCUCCUGUAUGACCACAAUGCCGUUAUUAUGCCUAAGAACCAAAGCCAGUUGAUUACAUCUCCCCAGUAUGUCUCCAAUUUAGCCGCUUUUCUUCAGGCCACAAGUUUCCUGUAUCUUCAAGAGUGCAAUCAUCUCCUAACGGUUCCUCCUUCAAUCCACGCUCCACGCUGCUGCAAAGAGAACUUUCGACAGUGGAGAUCUGAUUAUGUCACUUCCCUACUUCAGACUUUCCAAUGGUUUUGCAUUACCUUCAAAAUAAAGAAUAAACUUCACACGGCAGACAGAGCCUUCAUCAUCCAGAUUCAUCUAGAGCAGCAUUGCCCAGUAGAAAUACAUGAGCAAUAUAUGUAGCUCUAAAUUUAUAAUAGCCACAUUUAAAAAAAUUUUUUUAAAUUACAGGUGAAGUUAGUUUAAAAAAUACAUUUUAUUUAACCCAAUAUAUUAAAAAUAUCAUAGCAACACAAACCCAGUAUAAAAAUUAUUAAUGAGGUGUCUUAUAUUCCUUUUUUCUAAGUUCUCAAAAUCUGGUGUGUAUUUAACACAUACAGCACAUCUUAAUUCAGAUGCUAAAUUUUCAAAGGUUAAAGUGAAAUGUGUUCCCACCAAAGCAAUAAUGUUAUAUCUCCCCCCCAAAAAAUAAGAAGUUUAUACUGCUCCAGUUUUAAAAUUUGAAUUAAUUAAAAUUAAAUAAAAUUAAGAGUUCUGUUCCUCAUUCACAUUAGCCACAUCUUAAGUGCUCAGUAGCUGCAUGUGGCAAGAGCAAUUCUAGCACAGCAGUUCUCAAAGUGUGACCCGGGGUAUCCCCAAAACAUUUCCAGGGGUCUCUAAGGUCAAAACUAUCUUCAAAAUAAUCUUAAAAUGUUAUUUACCUUUUUCAUUUUCAUUCUCUCAUAAGUCAGUGGAAUGUUCUAGAGCCUACAUGGCAUGCACUAUGACAACAGAUGGAACACAGAAACAUGGAAGAGAAUCAGCAGUCUCCCAUUAAGCCAGAUAUUGAACAGAUUUGCCAAAAUGUAAAACAAAGCCACUCUUCUCCCUAAUUGCUUCCGUUUUGGAAAAUAUCAUUAUUUUUCAUUAAACUAUGUGCUACGUAUGUUCUCACAUAAUGAGAUCAUUAUUGUUUCAAAAUGAAUUAAUAGAUAAUUUUAAAUGUUCUCAGUCGAUUUCUGAUACAGUAGUGAUGGAUAGAUAUAACUCUCAAAAUCAAAAGCUCUUUGAAGUUCUCAAUAGCUUUUAAUGGUGUAAGAGGGCUUCAAAAACAAUUGGUCUCAGACCUGCAAAACUUUCCACACUCGUGGUCGGUGAUUCCUCUCCUCUCUCAUAUUUUUUGCAUGAACUUCCAGUUCCAGACAAG